ensembl:lncRNA
UGGAAAGGCUGCAUCGGUCUUUCACUCUGCACAAUAAAGGACAUUAACAUGCGCCUGCAUGUUAACACAACUUCAGGGUGAAACUUUUCUACGAACGUCCUCCGGACUGCUUGUUGUCCAGAAAAGCUGAAAAGACUCGCGAAGCCCAGCCAGGAGACGCCAAAUUGUCGUGGAAAUUAGUCAACACUCGCAGACUCGUCCUCUGAAGGUGUGAAUCAGCGGUUUGCCUUUAUGUCAGACUCGAGAGCAGACGCAGCUGUUGUAUGCGACCGGAGUUUGGAGAAGCUGGGUGUGUGAUUGAUGUGUGGCUGCUUUUGUAAAAGGAAAUCACUCCCCCACACCCCCCCCCCCCCCCCCCACACACACACACACCCCUACAGCACACCUGGCUGUCAAAAGCUGGUGAGUGUCAUUGACAUGCUAAUAAAUACCGACCAAAAACCCCUGACACACAAAACACACAACACACACAACACACUGGCUCCGAGCAGAGCGAGCACUUUGAAGUUUCAGCCAAAGUCAGAAAAAAAGAGAACUUCACAGAUAAGUGUGUGUGAGAGAAAGUGGAGAAGGAGAAGAGGACAUUCUGUGCUGUUUUUUUUCCCCUUCAGGAAGUGAUAGAGGCCUGUGACUAAACUUCACACACACAACUGACCGCACAGCUUAGCGUCAAACACACUGCUGCCACGCUGACGCUAGAAAAUUCCACACAUUCCUGCUCCAGAAACACUCAGCAUAGUUUGGAUCAGACUGCAAUGGCAUCCGAGCAGGCUGACCAACACACACACAGACACACACACACACACACACACACCAGCUGGCUGUAACAACAGGCCUAAGGCCCACCAGACUUCAGCUUCAGUCAUUUCUAUAAAGCACUCCACUGUAAGUAGUGUAUAAUAAUGAACUUUACACCAAAGUGCUCCUGAAUUCUCAAUUCUGAUUGGUCAAUAGCUGUUGAUUAAUUUUCUAUGCCAGCAAUACUUGGACUGGUAUGGUGGAUGCUCCAUAAAACUUAAUGCACUAACCAAAAAUUAAACUAAUAAAUUAAAGCUGUUAUUUAACAAAUGAAAACGUACAACUCUUAGGGUCUUUCUCAGAAAUGUGGCAAGCUGGCGUUUUUUGUUUUUUUUAUUAUUAUUAUUUUGUAUUUCAGUGGUUAAAAAGUACAACAUGCCAUUAAUUUAUUGAAUUAAAAGAAAUCAUUUUGGCAACGUUGUGUGGUACAAGAAGAACAGAACACUUCAGGACGUGCCGUUAUUGGAAAAAUAACACCAUUGUGUUUUAUUAUUUAUUAUUACAUACUUCAUCUCUUAUAGUGUAUAUACUUUUAUACAUAAUUCUCAGCUUGUUUCAUUGUGGCCUAAAACCACUGAUACAACACUUUAUUUAAAUUAAAUGAACAUGUUGAAGCACAUUCUGAUUUUGUUGUACAGUACAUGAGCACACUGAUGCCAUGAUGGUCUAGUGUUGCUCUGAUUGACAGGGGAGAGAGAGUAUGCCGUCCCUCACACCCAGAGGUUCUACUUACGCGAUAAAGUAAUUAACCGAAUGUUACUAUUCACGUUACUGUGCUUGAACUAGACUAGCUACUUAAUGUUACAUAGCUAAUGCUGGCGAGGGUAACAUUAACAUUAUCUAUGGCUUGUUUACUAGAUCACACUAUACCAUUUUAAAACCAGUAUUUCAUGCUAAUUGGUAUAUCAAGCUGAAGAAAUGAAAAGAAAGGUCAUUGGUCGGAUAAAAAUGUAAAUUAAGCUCCGCUCUUAUUUAUCCAGGACGUGUAAAGCCUGACAAAGCCCUCAAAGACGGUAAACAAGUAUGAGGUCUAGUUUCAUGUUAGAUAAAAUAAUGUAGCCAACUAUAUAUUUUAUUACAAAAUCAGGUCAGUGUUACAUUUGUAAACGACGUCACAGCUUGCAGCCGUUCGUCAGCGUUACAAUUCAUUCACACACAGUCUCUCAGCUACUAAGAAUACUAACAUGUGUUGUACUAACAUGGGGAAAGGGAGACUGUCACAACAUGUUUGCUAAAUAGUGUACAAGAGUGCUCUAAAUAAAUGACCAUGAAGGCUAAAAACCUGAUUGACGGCACAGAGACGCUAAACAAAGUGCUGUUAC